rnacentral:rRNA from 1 species
CCUACGGGUGGCAGCAGUGGGGAAUAUUGGGCAAUGGAGGAAACUCUGACCCAGCAACGCCGCGUGAAGGAUGAAGGUUUUCGGAUUGUAAACUUCUGUCGCGAGGGAUGAAGAAUGACGGUACCUCGUAAGAAAGCCCCGGCUAACUACGUGCCAGCAGCCGCGGUAAUACGUAGGGGGCAAGCGUUAUCCGGAUUUACUGGGUGUAAAGGGAGCGUAGACGGUUAUGUAAGUCUGGAGUGAAAGCCCGGGGCCCAAACCCGGGACUGCUUUGGAAACUGUGUAACUGGAGUACAGGAGGAGCAGGCGGAAUGCCUGGUGUAGCGGUGAAAUGCGUAGAUAUCAGGAGGAACACCGGCGGCGAAGGCAGCCUGCUGGACUGAAACUGACGUUGAGGCUCGAAAGCGUGGGGAGCGAACAGGAUUAGAUACCCUUGUAGUC